ensembl:rRNA 5S_rRNA 5S ribosomal RNA
GUCUAUGGCCAUUAUCACCCUGAACGCGCCCGAUCUUGUCUGAUCUCGGAAGCUAAGCAGGGUCGGGCCUGGUUAGUACUUGGACGGGAGACUGCCUGGGAAUACCGGGUGCUGUAGGCU